rnacentral:pre_miRNA from 1 species
AUGCAAAUCACCUGGGGGAUCUUGUUAAAAUGCAGAUUCUGAUUCAGUCAGUCUUGGGUGGGGCCUGAGAUUCUGCACAUUUAACAAGCUCCCAAAUGUUACUGCU